UCUGCUAUUUUAUAUAUUAAAAAUCAUAGCAAUUUGGAGCUUUCUUUGAAAAAACGUUCCUUGUCUUUUUGGGUGGCGGGGUUAAGUUAGGAGUUAGUAAUGUUCUUAACCGUAAGCUUUUUUUUUCUUCUUAAUUUUAACCUAAACCCUAUUAAAUUUACUCUUUUAACUAACCCUAUUUUCUUUGUUUAAACAAAUCGGACCUAAUCUCCUAUUUUCCUAUCAACCCAAAUCGAUCAUUUUCGUAAACAGAUAAACAUAUAUCAAAAUUGUUUCCUACCUAUUCUCAUCACUUCCCUUCGCCAAUGCUCUCGGUUCCGGCACCACCCUUGCCGUCGACUCCAUCGCCACCGUCUAUGGCUUCAUAUCAUCACAACAAACUCAUAACAUCAGUUGCUACCGCGACGCUGGUUGUUUUUGUUGAGAUUAAUGGUGGAACUGAAAUUCCUUUCCGUCUCAGUAGAUAGAUUCUUGGCAACAGAUAUGUAUUUGGGAGAUGGGAACAUUGUGGCAGUGCUACAACAACCGGUAGGUGAGUUCUGCAGGGAACCAGGUACUGAAGUUCUUUCCAUUGAAAUUACUCUUAUUUAAUUGUACAUGUUUAGUACUCCAAGCUCCUAAAACACAAUGAUGAUUCAACGGAUUUGAUAUUUGGUAUGAUUGCUAUCAACUAUUACUAAAUUCAAUUGGAUUAGUUUUUGUGUUAAUACCUGCAAUGAUCUUAUCAUAAGAUUUCGUGCAUAGUUAUAAAAAAGGAAGUUAUUCUACAUAAUGCAGUUGUAUAUAAGUUUUAUUGUUUAUGUAAGUAUGUUAAUUUUUUAUUAAUUUUUCCUAUCUCAUUGGAAUGAAGCUUUAGUUUGUCUUAUGUUGUUAUGUUUCUAUCCAUUGAAUAAACUCCUACACAAUUUCCACUUCACCCGGUUUCUUGGGAUAAACCUUUGAUUGAGCAGGCUUCAUUGUGACAUGAAAGAUUGUAAACUUCACUACUGUCUUCUAGAGUUAACCUAAGAAUAUAAAACUCUACUCUUGAUAUUAAGUGGGAUAAGCAAAUGGUUUUAUGGCCUUAGUGAUUUUUCUGCUUGGAGUUUUGUGGUUGCCCAUUAGCAGGUUUGCAGAAUUGUUAAGGUCAGUUUUGUUUUCUUCAAUUUGGUUUCAGAUGUUAUGGCACAAUUAUGUAUUUUUUUUAGCUUUGCUACUCCAGUUUUGCAUCUCUUUAUGUUGAAGUCAUUGUCGUAAUAUGAGAAUGAUGCUUGAUUAUAUUUUGCUUUCUUUAGUCUUUAGAUAUACAUAGAUGAAUAAUUUGGAGGCUUAUUACUUAUCAUGUUUUUUGGUUCCUGUAGGAAUUUUGGAAGUUGUUUUGAUGUAUUUUACUUUUUCACAUGCCCUGAGUUUUUCAUGUCUCGAUAGAGAGAAAAUAUACGAUAAUAGAGUAUGUUGUUUUUACCCUGGAAUAUCACAACCAAAACCUGGCAUAAUGUGGUCAACUAAAGCUAUAUUUGAUGAGAUGCUCUACAUGUUUUCUUUAAUCUUAUUGUUUUUGACAUGUUUUCUUAUACAAAAAAGGCGAAGUCAAGUCAUGAUAGUUUGGUCAUUUUGCCUUUGAUUUAGCCUGUCUUCGAGUUGGAGUUGCUCUGUCUGAGUAGUGUGUUGUAGCUUUUGCAGUGUUGAUAUAUGCAUACUGUUUCAGGAUUUUGGUUGUUGUAUUGUAUCUUCAGUGGGGAGUUGAUGUAUCAAUCAAGAGAGACGUGGCUUGCAGACUAUCCAUAUCACUGUUUUUCAGCUUGCCGAAUUCAUUUAGACUGUUGCUGUAUUUUGUGAGAGGUGCCUUAUAACUGUGCAACUCAUGCUUCUCUGUGGCAGAAGUUGCCUCUGUAUAGUUUGCUGAGUUUAAGUGAUCAAGUUUCUUUCAAUUGAGGCAAAUAAUGUGUCUUGAUGAAUUUUUUAGUGGCUUUGGUGUUAUAACACUCUUUUUCCCUCAUUGUAAUGGUGCAAGUCCGUGACCAACUUAUUGGUGUUGAAUACUUAUGUAAACUAUAGUUAUGCUGAAAUAUUCUAAUACAUUAAUUUUACAAA